UAGGGAAUCUUCGGCAAUGGACGAAAGUCUGACCGAGCAACGCCGCGUGAGUGAAGAAGGUUUUCGGAUCGUAAAACUCUGUUGGUAUAGAAGAACGUUGGUGAGAGUGGAAAGCUCAUCAAGUGACGGUAACUACCCAGAAAGGGACGGCUAACUACGUGCCAA
rnacentral:rRNA from 1 species